GUCUAGGUUCAAGAUUAGCCCCCGUGGUGUUGUCAGGUGCAUACCUGCAACGUGCGGGGGUUUUCU
rfam:Shigella dysenteriae Sd197, complete genome.